UACGAAGGGGGCUAGCGUUGCUCGGAAUGACUGGGCGUAAAGGGCGCGUAGGCGGAUGGCACAGUCAGAUGUGAAAUUCCCGGGCUUAACCUGGGGGCUGCAUUUGAUACGUGUUGUCUAGAGUGAGGAAGAGGGUUGUGGAAUUCCCAGUGUAGAGGUGAAAUUCGUAGAUAUUGGGAAGAACACCGGUGGCGAAGGCGGCAACCUGGUCCUUGACUGACGCUGAGGCGGCGAAAGCGUGGGGAGCAAACAGGAUUGAGAUACC
rnacentral:rRNA from 1 species